AUUCACACAGUGCAAACGAUCUGCUUCUUGACAACGAGAGAAUAAUCCUCUUCUUCUUUUUCUGCAAAUAAUAAUCCCUCUACAAUCAAACUCAUUUUUUCUCUUCGAACUUCGUUAAUGUUCCUCAUCACACCUCCAAUUCCAAUUUCGAUUCUUACGACUCAGACUUCAGAGACGAUUUUGGCACGCAACAAUCGUGUUUUCUUCUUCGCUCCUCAGAAUCGUGACUCAAACCCGAACAUAAUCAUCAUGUCUUCGUUCCUCAGAAUCGUGACUUCUAACCACCAAACAGUUUCAGCUUCCAAUCAGUAAUGAGAAAGUGCGCCAUGUAAAUCAAGCUAACCACCAUAUGUACCUUUUCCUAGGAAUUGGUUCAGGAACAAUUAUGGUAGGUGCCCAUCUUAUUACAUGGAAUGUUGCAGACAGUUGCUAAGCGGAUGCAUCUGAAGUUGCAGAGGACAUUAAGGUUUUAACUUGGAAAUGGAGUGCUCAUAAAUUGAAGAUCGCCCCGUGUUUAUAUUACGAAUGGACUUGGGACCCAGUUGACUAAUCUAAUUGGUCAGCUGCUUGAUCUGGGAGGCCUACAAUAUUUAGCAGUUGCAGCCUGAGGUGUGGGUCUGCUGUGUAUUUAGUAGAUUGGAGGCUUGGUUUGAUGUUUAAAGACAUUUUGAGGUGGAUCAUUGUAAGUGUCAUUGUCCCUUGUUUCUUGCUUGUCGGCUGAAUGGUAUGUUUGGCAUUAGGCAAUCUCUUACUGUUUGGAGCUUUGCGAUGUUGUCUAGCUUUGCGAUGCCUGUGACUGUCUGGAGUUUUGUGUAGUUUCCUCUGCUGCCGUGUUAUCUUGCAGGGGUUGUUCAUUGGUUUUUAGUAGGAUGAACUUGUGUUAUUUUUGUUUUCAUCUACAAUGCUAAAACGUGCCCUCUUAGGAAGUUAUUUGUGUAAGUUUUGCACAUGAUCAAUUAAUUUUAACUUAAUUAUAUUUUAUGCCUCAAACUAUAUUGAACUUUAUUAAUAUUUUAGUUAGGGAUUUUUAAUAUUCUUUCCAUUUUUUAGAACAGGACAUUUUCUCAAGCAUGGUUUAUCUCUUCAUGGGUUCCAAAUGUCAUUGUUACUAAGAAGUAAGAAAACAGAAAAUCCACCUCAAGCAUUAAGUAAGAAGCAAUUGUUGAUGAGAGAUUUGAGGUAUCUCUUAUUUUACUCUUCUUAUUUUAAUUAUCAUUUGAUUGUGGUAUUAUAUUGCUAUUGCAAGUUUGUACGUAGUUUAAUAAUGAUUAAAAGUUUUGUAACAUUGUUGAUAAUGGCAUGUGUUAAGUUAAGAGACAAGGUUUGGUGACAUUUCUUAUCUCUUUCUCCUUGUCUUAGUGUUGUUUAAUACUUGUGAAUGUUACUUUUGUUUCUGAGUG